rnacentral:lncRNA from 1 species
CAAUUAUCUAAAUAAUGGUCAUGAACGAUCUUCAUUUCAACCCACUCCACUCCUUCUCCACCACCACCACAUCCAUGUCCACAUUCACCACCAAGCAACCACAUGGACAUGCACAAUCUAAAAUGUAGUGCACGCUAUCACCAUUGUAUCCCCACCAUCUAUAUCAAUAACCACCACCUCUUCCAAUCCACUACCUCUACUACACCACCACCUUAAAUCCACAACCCACACCCUUCCAUCAACAACAAAGUCAUCCAAAUUUGCAAAGUUAGGAUGGACCACCACUAACACACCCAUUAUCUAUAUCAAUAACCACCACCUCUUCUAAUCCACUGCCUCUACUACACCACCACCUUAAAUCCACAACCCACACCCUUCCAUCAACAACAAAGUCGUCCAAAUUUACAAAGUUAGGGUGGACCACCACUAGCACACCCAUUACACCACUAAUGGGAGGCACGAUUCAGUAAAUUUAGGGCUGAAUGUUGAAGAUGGAAAGCCAAAGAGGGGCAACGGAGUCGAUGCAACUACUCCAAUCACGGGAUGGCGAUGGCGAUGACAAUGAUGACGACCAUUGAAGGGAUUCAAUCAAAGGUUUGAUGGUGGCUGAAAUUUGUGGAAAUGCUACAACUUCAUAGACUACAGCUCCCUUAUGGUUUCCUUAUAGUGGUGGCGUUUGUGACUGUUAUGGAUUGACGACGACGUUGGUAGAUUGGAGGUGGUGGGAUUGUAGGGUAGGUAAUUCCAUCCUUGGCAAUGGGCGAAAUUGGUGGUUUGGGCGAUGGUUCUAGUGCAGGCGAUAGGUAACAAUGGGCAUUGUUGACGUAGGCACUAGUUGGCGAUGGGCUCUCGAUAGUGUGGCUUUG